CCUACGGGAGGCAGCAGAGGGGAAUAUUGGGCAAUGGGCGCAAGCCUGACCCAGCGACGCCGCGUGAGGGAAGACGGACUUAGGAUUGUAAACCUCUUUCAGCAGGGAAGACAAAAGGACGGUACCUGCAGAAGAAGCCACGGCUAACAACGGGCCAGCAGCCGCGGAAAUACGUAGGUGGCAAGUGAUACCCGGAAUUACGGGGUGCAAAGGGCGUGUAGGCGGGUUUGCAAGUCAGAUGUGAAAAUUAUGGGCUCAACCCAUAACCUGCGUUUCAAACUACAGAACUGUAGCGUGGAAGAGGUACCCGGAAUCCCCGGUGUAGCGGUGAAAUGCAUAGAUAUCAGGAGGAACACCAAUGGCGAAGGCCGUUUACUGAACCACAACUGACGCUGAGCCACGAAAGCGUGGGGAGCAAACAGGAUUAGUUACCCUUGUAGUC
rnacentral:rRNA from 1 species